rnacentral:rRNA from 1 species
GCCUGACGACCAUAGCAAGGUGGUCCCACUCCUUCCCAUCCCGAACAGGACAGUGAAACGCCUUCGCGCCGAUGAUAGUGGAUGUACAUCUGUGAAAGUAGGUC